rnacentral:rRNA from 1 species
UUGCCUCAGUAACGGCGAGUGAAGCGGCAACAGCUCAAAUUUGAAAUCUGGCUCCUUUCAGGUGUCCGAGUUGUAAUUUGUAGAGGAUGCUUCGGCUUACGCCCCGGUCUAAGUUCCUUGGAACAGGACGUCACAGAGGGUGAGAAUCCCGUUUGUGGCCGGCGGCUUCCGCCAUGUGAAGCUCCUUCGACGAGUCGAGUUGUUUGAGAAUGCAGCUCUAAAUGGGAGGUAUAUUUCUUCUAAAGCUAAAUACCGGCCAGAGACCGAUAGCGCACAAGUAGAGUGAUCGAAAGAUGAAAAGCACUUUGGAAAGAGAGUUAAAAAGUACGUGAAAUUGUUGAAAGGGAAGCGCUUGCGACCAGACUUGCCCGCGGAUGCUCAGCCGGUCCUUCGGCCGGUGCACUCUUCCGCGGUCAGGCCAGCAUCAGUUCGGGCGGUCGGAUAAAGGCCUCGGGAAUGUGGCUCCUCUCGGGGAGUGUUAUAGCCCUUGGUGCAAUACGGCCCGCCUGGACUGAGGCCCGCGCUUCGGCUAGGAUGCUGGCGUAAUGGUCGUAAGCGGCCCGUCUUGAAACACGGACCAAGGAGUCUAACAUCUAUGCGAGUGUUUGGGUGUCAAACCCGUGCGCGAAAUGAAAGUGAACGGAGGUGGGAACCCUCGGGUGCACCAUCGACCGAUCCUGAUGUCUUCGGAUGGAUUUGAGUAAGAGCAUAGCUGUUGGGACCCGAAAGAUGGUGAACUAUGCCUGAAUAGGGUGAAGCCAGAGGAAACUCUGGUGGAGGCUCGCAGCGGUUCUGACGUGCAAAUCGAUCGUCAAAUUUGGGUAUAGGGGCGAAA